rnacentral:rRNA from 1 species
GUGGGGAAUCUUGCGCAAUGGGCGAAAGCCUGACGCAGCCAUGCCGCGUGGAUGAUGAAGGUCUUAGGAUUGUAAAAUCCUUUCACCGGUGAAGAUAAUGACUGUAGCCGGAGAAGAAGCCCCGGCUAACUUCGUGCCAGCAGCCGCGGUAAUACGAAGGGGGCUAGCGUUGCUCGGAUUUACUGGGCGUAAAGGGCGCGUAGGCGGACAUUUAAGUCAGGGGUGAAAUCCCGGGGCUCAACCUCGGAACUGCCUUUGAUACUGGGUGUCUUGAGUAUGAGAGAGGUGUGGGGUACUCCGAGUGUAGAGGUGAAAUUCGUAGAUAUUCGGAAGAACACCAGUGGCGAAGGCGACACACUGGCUCAUUACUGACGCUGAGGCGCGAAAGCGUGGGGAGCAAACAGGAUUAGAUACCCGGGUAGUCC